rnacentral:rRNA from 1 species
GAUGAACGCUGGCGGCGUGCCUAAUACAUGCAAGUCGAGCGAACGGACGAGAAGCUUGCUUCUCUGAUGUUAGCGGCGGACGGGUGAGUAACACGUGGAUAACCUACCUAUAAGACUGGGAUAACUUCGGGAAACCGGAGCUAAUACCGGAUAAUAUUUUGAACCGCAUGGUUCAAAAGUGAAAGACGGUCUUGCUGUCACUUAUAGAUGGAUCCGCGCUGCAUUAGCUAGUUGGUAAGGUAACGGCUUACCAAGGCAACGAUGCAUAGCCGACCUGAGAGGGUGAUCGGCCACACUGGAACUGAGACACGGUCCAGACUCCUACGGGAGGCAGGCGUAGGGAAUCUUCCGCAAUUGGCGAAAGCCUGACGGAGGAACGCCGCGGGAGUGAUGAAGGUCUUCGGAUCGUAAAACUCUGUUAUUUGGGAAGAACAUAUUUGUAAGUAACUGUGCACAUCUUGACGGUACCUAAUCAGAAAGCCACGGCUAACUACGUG